AGUGAGAGUGCUGGUACUGUUGGUGAUGGAGUAUGAGUGCCCGCUGAACAUUCUGGUCAUAUGCCAAUGGCUGAGGUCUUCAAGCUUUCUGUUUCCAUCUUCAAAGUCCAUAAUUGGAGCCUUUUUAACCCUUAAGGAUGUUAUUCUUGGUAAAUAGCAGUGGUGCACCCUAGUUUGGUAGACGAUCGAGAUAUUGUUUGUCAAGCAUUAAAUGGAAUCAAGAUGGGUGAUAAAACCCCUUACUGUUCGGCGUGCUAACCAGGGUACUUAACAACCAAAGCCAGAGCAAGAGAGUGUAUAUAUGCAUGCCCAACAGCAGAUUGCAUUGCAGUCGUUCGUGCUGUUUUGGAUGUAUCCUUUCCCCAACUUUGAUUCAUCUUCCACCCUUUGGUCUAUACUCCGAGGAAUGUGCCUUAUGCUAGUGAGGAAAUUGAUGUGGUUCGUGAGCAAUGGGCUAAGUUUUUUACCAGCUAGGAAGUAUUUAUUAUUUAAUUUGUCUGAGCGCGCUUGAUCGAGUUGGUUUAGAUGUCAUAGAACAAUCUUUUAUAUUAAAAUGUAUGCGUACGUUGAAAUUGGAACGUAUAUAUAUUUAAAUGUAUGUGGUACGUGCACUUUGAUUUUGGAAUAUAUA